GUUUGCGUUGAGGCUUGCUGGUCACUGUGUUGUGAAAAAUCAAUGAGAUGUGACGGGAUUUCUCAAUGCAAUUUCAAGUGGUGUGUCUGGGCCCUAAGAAUACAUUUAUCUUAUUCAAAGAAGAGUUAAUGCAUGCAGUUUCACAGUGGCCUAUGUUACCUCCUGAAACACCAGGUUGCAAGAGGUGUCUUGGAAGACAUGGUUUUUAAGGCAGGAACUGAAAGAGGAGUACACUGGAGCUUGUCUCUAUCAUGCAUAGACCAACAUGGAAGAGAACGCAAGCCCACUCACGAACUGGGGACAGGCGAGGGUUUGGCAGACACUUGGUAUCUGCUCCAGUCUUUUGAAGAAACGGGCAUCCACUGAGGACCUCAUCCGGACAAAAAAAAAAUCUCAUGGCCGGACAACAAUUAAAAUCGAUAAGCUAUGAUGACUCCCUUUGCAGAAGAGGCCUGGAAACACAAAGCAGUUUUUAACGCCGUUCUCCUUUGCGUUUGGCGAGGAAGCUGGAAUCAGUCAGCGCUUGGGCCGACUGCUGCACUGACAGAAGACCUGGCUCCUUCUGAAGCUUUCUGAGUCUCUGCUGAAGUGGCCACAGCCAAGACUUAGAUUUGGAUUGGCAAACUUCAUAAUCAUUACCAUUAAUCCAUUGCACAGUUAUGCCUUCUGUCACAGAUUUAUUGAAGUGGUAUUAACUGGUAUUUCACAAUCUCCUCCCAAAGAGGUGAAGCAACUGUAGAUUUCUGAAGUUUUAACACUUGAAAUGUUUAGUGUCUUCUCCCGGUAUUCAACAGAAAGGUAAUUUCACAUAAUUUCAUUGACGUCAAAACUUAGCCCUACUUGGCUUUCCCUUACUCUUGGCUAGAGUACCCUUGACACCCUCUCAGUCAGCUGAAAUGAAUGUUCUCCUUACUUGUGGGUUAAUUAUUUUCCACAUGGGUUAAUUAUUUUCCAUGCUUAGCCUGAAGCACCUUAGCUCUUUGUAUAGACAUAGAAAGAAAUUGUAAAAUUGAAGGCGUUUCAAAAAUAUUUGUACAUAGAAAAGUAGCUGUUUAUGGAUUGUUACUGAAUGAAUGACUUGGAAAUUAGCUCCAGCUGCAGUAUAGCCUUUCUUUAAAUGGAAAAAAAGACACAUUUUCGUCUGUGAUCUAAUUAUAUAUCAUUUCCAUUGAAUCAUCAGUACCCAGAAUGUGUUGUUUGCAAUUCUGAGUGGAUGACUUACACAGUACAAGAAGGGAGAUUUCUAUUUGACUUAUUCUUAAUCAGAAAAUACAUUUCUAUAUACAAAAAGAAAAAAAGAAAAAAAAAAAGAAAAAUGAAGCUUUAAUUCUUUAAAAAAUCAGCUGAAAGCUUUUAAUUUUCCUUGAUCUUUUUUUUUUGGGGC
rnacentral:lncRNA from 1 species